rnacentral:rRNA from 1 species
GAUGAACGCUGGCGGCGUGCCUAAUACAUGCAAGUCGAGCGAACGGACGAGAAGCUUGCUUCUCUGAUGUUAGCGGCGGACGGGUGAGUAACACGUGGAUAACCUACCUAUAAGACUGGGAUAACUUCGGGAAACCGGAGCUAAUACCGGAUGAUAUUUUGAACCGCAUGGUUCAAAAGUGAAAGACGGUCUUGCUGUCACUUAUAGAUGGAUCCGCGCUGCAUUAGCUAGUUGGUAAGGUAACGGCUUACCAAGGCAACGAUGCAUAGCCGACCUGAGAGGGUGAUCGGCCACACUGGAACUGAGACACGGUCCAGACUCCUACGGGAGGCAGCAGUAGGGAAUCUUCCGCAAUGGGCGAAAGCCUGACGGAGCAACGCCGCGUGAGUGAUGAAGGUCUUCGGAUCGUAAAACUCUGUUAUUAGGGAAGAACAUAUGUGUAAGUAACUGUGCACAUCUUGACGGUACCUAAUCAGAAAGCCACGGCUAACUACGUGCCAGCAGCCGCGGUAAUACGUAGGUGGCAAGCGUUAUCCGGAAUUAUUGGGCGUAAAGCGCGCGUAGGCGGUUUUUUAAGUCUGAUGUGAAAGCCCACGGCUCAACCGUGGAGGGUCAUUGGAAACUGGAAAACUUGAGUGCAGAAGAGGAAAGUGGAAUUCCAUGUGUAGCGGUGAAAUGCGCAGAGAUAUGGAGGAACACCAGCGGCGAAGGCGACUUUCUGGUCUGUAACUGACGCUGAUGUGCGAAAGCGUGGGGAUCAAACAGGAUUAGAUACCCUGGUAGUCCACGCCGUAAACGAUGAGUGCUAAGUGUUAGGGGGUUUCCGCCCCUUAGUGCUGCAGCUAACGCAUUAAGCACUCCGCCUGGGGAGUACGACCGCAAGGUUGAAACUCAAAGGAAUUGACGGGGACCCGCACAAGCGGUGGAGCAUGUGGUUUAAUUCGAAGCAACGCGAAGAACCUUACCAAAUCUUGACAUCCUUUGACAACUCUAGAGAUAGAGCUUUCCCCUUCGGGGGACAAAGUGACAGGUGGUGCAUGGUUGUCGUCAGCUCGUGUCGUGAGAUGUUGGGUUAAGUCCCGCAACGAGCGCAACCCUUAAGCUUAGUUGCCAUCAUUAAGUUGGGCACUCUAAGUUGACUGCCGGUGACAAACCGGAGGAAGGUGGGGAUGACGUCAAAUCAUCAUGCCCCUUAUGAUUUGGGCUACACACGUGCUACAAUGGACAAUACAAAGGGCAGCGAAACCGUGAGGUCAAGCAAAUCCCAUAAAGUUGUUCUCAGUUCGGAUUGUAGUCUGCAACUCGACUACAUGAAGCUGGAAUCGCUAGUAAUCGUAGAUCAGCAUGCUACGGUGAAUACGUUCCCGGGUCU